GACGUAGGGCGCGAGCGUUGUCCGGAUUUAUUGGGCGUAAAGAGCUCGUAGGCGGCUUGUUGCGUCGACUGUGAAAACCCGCGGCUUAACUGCGGGCUUGCAGUUGAUACGGGCAGGCUGGAGUUCGGUAGGGGAGAUCGGAAUUCCUGGUGUAGCGGUGAAAUGCGCAGAUAUCAGGAGGAACACCGGUGGCGAAGGCGGAUCUCUGGGCCGAUACUGACGCUGAGGAGCGAAAGCGUGGGGAGCGAACAGG
rnacentral:rRNA from 1 species